GACGAACGCUGGCGGCGUGCCUAAUACAUGCAAGUCGAACGCAGUGGGGACGGGUGAGUAACACGUGGGUAACCUCCCAUCAGAGGGGAUAACACGUGGAAACAGGUGCUAAAACCGAUACUGAUGGAGGGACACGCGGUGGAUUAGCCAGUUGGUGAGGUAACGGCUCACCAAGGCGACGAGGCAUAGCCGCCCUCGGAGGGUGAUCAGCCACACUGGGACUGAGACACGGCCCAGACUCCUACGGGAGGCAGCAGUAGGGAAUCUUCGGCAAUGGACGAAAGUCUGACCGAGCAACGCCGCGUGAGUGAAGAAGGUUUUCGGAUCGUAAAACUCUGUUAUUAGAGAAGCGGUAUCUAACCAGAAAGCCACGGCUAACUCCGUGCCAGCAGCCGCGGUAAUAC
rnacentral:rRNA from 1 species